AUGUUUCAAAAAAGAAAAAAAAAAGGUACAAUGGCUACAAAGAGCAGCCUCCUUGGUAGUGUAUGCAGUCUGUUGCUUAUAUAGGUUGCUCUAAGGGACCUUGAAGGUAUUC
rnacentral:snoRNA from 1 species